GAUGAACGCUGGCGGCGUGCCUAAUACAUGCAAGUCGAGCGAACGGACGAGAAGCUUGCUUCUCUGAUGUUAGCGGCGGACGGGAGAGUAACACGUGUAUAACCUACCUAUAAGACUGGGAUAACUUCGGGAAACCGGAGCUAAUACCGGAUAAUAUUUUGAACCGCAUGGUUCAAUAGUGAAAGACGGUCUUGGUGUCACUUAUAGAUGGAUCCGCGCUGCAUUAGCUGGUUGGUAAGGUAACGGCUUACCAAGGCAACGAUGCGUAGCCGACCGGAGAGGGGGAUCGGCCACAUUGGAACUGAGACGCGGUCCAGACUCCUGCGGGAGGCAGCAGUAGGGAAUGUUACGCAAUGGGCGAAAGCCUGACGGAGCAACGCCGCGUGAGUGAUGGAGGUCUUCGGAUCGUAAAACUCUGUUAUUAGGGAAGAACAUAUGUGUAAGUAACUGUGCACAUCUUGACGGUACCUAAUAAGAAAGCCACGGCUAACUACGUG
rnacentral:rRNA from 1 species